rnacentral:lncRNA from 1 species
UUCUUCCCCAGUAACGUAAUUCAUCUAACAAUUUCAGCUGUAAUUUGAGUAUUUUUUUCCCCUAGCAUCACUUCUGGACUUCCUUUAUCAUUUUCUUAUCCACCCACAGCAACUGACCCAGAUCUGCCAGAAAGUUGAACAUGUACAAAAGGAGGCACCUAAAACCAGAUAACACGAAUUAGUCUGUAAACUAAGAUACUACUGAAGACCUUUCCAAGUGCACCUAGCAGAGGCCUAAGGUAACAGGAGCCGCUCCGCAUCACGUGAUGUAAAAAGAUUUAAGGAUCUUCACAGCUCGUCAUUUUUGUCACAGGAGCUUCUAACAAUGGAUUCCAAUUUUCAUUUUGAACCCGUCACUGUCAGCCCGUUUUAAACGGC